GAGGGGAAAGCAGAACCUCACCCUAAUAAUGGCCGAGAAAGGAGAGAACCUAAAAGUCAAGGGAUACCAGGCCAAGGUGGUACCGAACCAGGGUGGUACUGAACCAGGGUGGUACCGAACCAGGGUGGUACCGAACCAGGGUGGUACCGAACCAAGGUGGUAACAAGCCAAGGUGGUACCGAACCAAGAGGUACCAA